UACAGAGGGGGCAAGCGUUGUUCGGAAUUACUGGGCGUAAAGGGCGCGUAGGCGGCCUGGUAAGUCGGACGUGAAAUCCCCGGGCUCAACCCGGGAACUGCGUCCGAUACUGGAAGGCUUGAAUCCGGGAGAGGGAUGCGGAAUUCCAGGUGUAGCGGUGAAAUGCGUAGAUAUCUGGAGGAACACCGGUGGCGAAGGCGGCAUCCUGGACCGGCAUUGACGCUGAGGCGCGAAAGCCAGGGGAGCAAACGGG
rnacentral:rRNA from 1 species